AGCGAACGCUGGCGGCAGGCCUAACACAUGCAAGUCGAACGAACUCUUCGGAGUUAGUGGCGGACGGGUGAGUAACACGUGGGAACGUGCCUUUUGGUUCGGAAUAACUCAGGGAAACUUGUGCUAAUACCGAAUGUGCCCUUCUGGGGAAAGAUUUAUCGCCAUUAGAGCGGCCCGCGUCUGAUUAGCUUGUUGUUUAGGUAACGGCUCACCAAGGCGACGAUCAGUAGCUGGUCUGAGAGGAUGACCAGCCACACUGGGACUGAGACACGGCCCAGACUCCUACGGGAAGCAGCAGUGGGGAAUAUAGCGAAAUGGGCAAAAGCAUGACGCAGCCAUGCCGCGUGAAUGAUGAAGGUCUUAGGAUAGUAAAAUUCUUUCAACGGGGACGAUAAUGACGGUACCAGGAGAAGAAGCCCCGGCUAACUUCGUG
rnacentral:rRNA from 1 species